GCGGUGGACGUUCUGCAGGAUCAGCGGGAACGAUCGCUCGCCCAGGUACCUCUUCCGCGGCUCCCCCACCGUGCAGCUCGGCGGAUCGGCCCAGAACGCCUUGUAGUAGGCGCCGCGGUAGUAGUAGCAGGUGAGUCGGAACCCGCCCGGCGCCCAGAGGAUGAAGAACGCAG
rnacentral:misc_RNA from 1 species